rnacentral:tRNA from 1 species
GGCUCUUUGUUUAGUCGGUUGUGGAAAUCGACACGGUACAAAAACACGGUAGCGUUAUGAAAAAUAACACAGGUUCAAAUCCUGGAAGAGCCUCCA